rnacentral:tRNA from 1 species
UAAGCUUUAAGUUAUACAAACUAAGAGCCUUCCAAGCUCCCCAAAAGAAAAUUCUUAAGCUUAA